rnacentral:rRNA from 1 species
CUGGAGACAGGUGCUGCAUGGCUGUCGUCAGCUCGUGUCGUGAGAUGUUGGGUUAAGUCCCGCAACGAGCGCAACCCUUGCCUUUAGUUGCCAGCAGUUCGGCUGGGCACUCUAAAGGGGACUGCCGGUGUUAAACCGGAGGAAGUGGGGAUGACGUCAAGUCCUCAUGGCCCUUAUGACCAGGGCUACACACGUACUACAAUGGCCGAUACAAAGGGCAGCGACACUGCGAGGUGAAGCCAAUCCCGUAAAAUCGGUCUCAGUCCGGAUUGGAGUCUGCAACUCGACUCCAUGAAGUUGGAAUCGCUAGUAAUCGUGGAUCAGCAUGCCACGGUGAAUACGUUCCCGGGCCUU